rnacentral:misc_RNA from 1 species
GCGUAGGCGGUGGGGAGGUCCUCGUAGGUGGGAGGGGAGUUAAGGAAGGAGAUGGCGUUGUUGAGGAUGCUGGAGAGGACGUCGUUGGAACCAUAGCAGUAGCCGUUGGAGAGGAUGGCGUUGCGGGCGGUGGAUUCGUCGUAGCCGACGGAGACGAGGCGGGCGAGGGCUUCAUUGUAAACGAGAUCGAGGUUGCGGAGGAUUGUGUCUUCGAGCUGUUCCUCAGUGCAGUAGCCCCAGUCGGAGUCGGGGGCGUCGGCGGCGCCAGGGUUAGGGUUUGGGGGUGGCGUGGCUG